GUCAAAAUAAAUACAGUACUCUCAUCAACCACAUAUUAAAUAGUGUGAGUGAGUGACCUAAGGGAGGAGCACAACGAAAGAAGCCAAAGAAGAGAUUCUAGAUCUAAGCUCUCCCACUUGCUUUUAUGCAGAAUUCACUCUUUCAUAUAUAAAGGUAAACUUUCAUCUAUGCUCUUCUCUUUCUUCUGGUACAUGUUUUUUCGUUUGGAUAAACCCUAAUUCUUUUAGAUCUGGUUGUACAAAAAUUUCUGGUUCAUGUUUUUUCUCCUGGAUUAAGAUGUUGCACUUCUCAUAAAUGGUCUAAAUCUAACCACAUACACACAAAUAUCUCAAUGGUUUUUAAUUUUCCGCAUAAGGCUAUAGCCUCUCAUCAUGAUUCAUCAGUGCAAUUAUUGAAGAUUUCAGGCUGUAGAAGUUUUUAAGGCAAUGGCUUCUGAUUAUUUUGACCAGACUCAACCAUUUGCAAUUAUAUCAACUAUGACACAAUGGAUCCUCUUCUUCCCUCCACCCCUAACAACUAUGAUUUCUUUGAUUAAAAUACAAGUUAUUUCUUUAUUUCUUUUAACGUAGAUGAUGAGGUAUGCUUAAAACCAUUAUGAACUUUUGGGUAUUCAAAGUUUUUACGAGCAUUUUACGCACAUUUUUUUACAUGGUAAUGUUAGACUCCUACAAAACCCAAAUCAAAAGAUAAGGGAAUUACACGGCAAACCGAGUCAGUUGCAUCAAAAAAAGAGAUUCAUGCUAAAGAGAUUGAACAAGUCAGUAGGGGUAAGGAGCCUGAAAUUAACAACAUUUCCACACUAAAAAUGGUUGUUGCUAAGAAGACCGCGGCUAGCAAAAAACCUACUUCUCAGUAUAGGUCGUGCCUUCGGACAUUAUUAGGAAUAACAGAUAUUCCAGAUGGUGGUACUCAUCUUAUACCUAUGAAGGCAGACAUUUUUGGUUUUGAAUACAUGGAAGCAAUUGGUAAAGAGGAUAUGGAUCAAGGUUUUAAACAUUUGGAAUUAGGCCUCGGUGUUAUCGGUACUUACAUCAGGCUGUAUGACAAAUUGAUGCGCCCGUAUGGAUUGGAAGAAAGAUUCGCUUUCUUAGCUCCCAACACUAUUAACGCAGGGUUAAUCAAAAUAAAACCAGAUGAUUUCAUAGCAUAUGUACUCGAUUUAUUUGUGGCCAGCAAAGAUACAGAAAAGUUGUUCUUUUUACCAUUUAAUACUAGCAACGAGUUAGAUAUCCAUCCUAACUUCAUUUAUUAUAAUUUUUUGUUUUUUGACGUUGUGUAGAAAAUUUUCAUCUAACCUUUGUUUAAUCUUAUAGUGGACACUGGUUAUUGGUUGCGAUUAAUCUUGUAAGAGAAAUUAUACCUUUGGAUCAAAUAGAGAUUCCAUCCACGUACUUUGACGAAUUCAAGUGUGCUCAUUACUCAAAAGAUCAAUCGGAUGAACUUAUGGAGAAAUGGUGUCAAUUCAUUAUGGAGUUGAGAAUUUUAUAAGGUUAUAGGUGCAGAUGUAGAAGAUAGAGCUAACAAGUUCAUUGUUGUUUUUUAGAAAUUCUCGAAGAUAGUAAUAACAUCAAUUUAACAUUUUAGAAUUUUCAAGUUGUAUCAUCAAUUUUCAAGUUGUUGUAUAUAUCAUUAAUUUAUAUAUCAGGUUCUUGUAUGACAAAUUGAUGCGUCCACGUCAAUUGACAGAAAGAUUUUCUUUCUUAUCUCCAACCUGUAUCAACACACGAUUAAUCGAUCAAAAUCCAAAUCCAACCAAAGAGUACUUAGUCGGUGCAUUUAUGACCAACAGAGAUACAUAAAAGUUGUUUCUUUUACCAUAUAAUACUGGCCAUGGUGGACACUGGUUGUUGGUUGCGAUUAAUCUUAUAAGUGAAAUAGUAUAUUAUCUGGAUUCAUUAGUUGAUGAUCAAACAAAAUACCCUGAUAUGAAGGAGAUGAUUGAUACGUAAGUGAGAUUGUUCUAAAUAUUCGUGUGUAUAUUUAUUUAUUUAUGCUAGAUGGUUCUAAAUAUUCGUUUAUAUUUUGUUAGAGGUAUACAAAUAUUCCGAUCACAAAGAAAAGCUCGAGUACCACAGAGUAAAGCAAACUAUUUUUCUCUUUUAAGUGAAGAGGAUGGCAUGUGAUUAUUUAGAUUUAUAUCUAGAUGUGAUAUUAUACCAACUAUGAUUUCUUUGAUUAAAUUAUAUCAGGGUCGUGUAACAGAGGUAGUGUCGCAUUCCUCCUUCUCUUUUCCUUUCCCUUAAGUUUCCAGCAUUAGAGACCUCAUUGAAGACACAAGAAGAGGCUGCAUUGGACAAUGAGGCUGCUAGAGUUGAGGCCGUUGCAGCAUUUGCAACAUUUAAUGAGAGAACCGUUUAAAGAUGAUUAACGUGCAUUAAUGCUGAAAAUCAAGUUUGAAGAAUUUCAACAACGUAUGUAGGCGGUGUUGGUGAUUUUAGUAUCAUCAAUGUAUUUUGGUAAUAAUGUGAUUUACUGUAGGCCGAUGCAAUUAUGCGUUAAGCUUGAAACGAGUUAGGGUAGUGCAGAGUGCAUGCUCGUAGAGCCAAACGUGCAAUUGAAUACAGGGGGCGGAGCCCCUGGCGGGGUGCAGGGCAGCGCCCUGCCGGGGUCCAAGGGGCAGCGCCCCUGGCUGAGGUCAGCGGGCGGGGUGCAGGGCAGCACCCCGAACGAAAUUUUCGUUUGAAUAGUUGCACCCUUUCCCAACCGACAUAAACGUUUUACCGAACAGGUGAGUCGUUUCCCAACCAACAUAACUGUUUUUACUGAACAGGUGUGUCAUUUCGGUUUCUAUUGUUGAUCUCCUAUAUAAGGAGUCAUUUGGCCUCGGUUUCGAAGACGAAAAACAUACUUCCUCUACAUUCUGAUCUGUUCUCCAUUGUCAGAAACAGAUUGUUCUUCGAGAAUUAUCCCCGCAAAGAUUUUGUGAACCCAGACAAGAAUAAGGUCGAAAUACUUUGUUCGGAAAGUGAACGAACACGAUUUUUGAAGAUAUCCAAGAUUAGCAUACCUAUAUCUAACAGGCGGGUUCUACUCUAGGGUUGGUCCUAUUACUCGUCUUCAUUAUGAAGAUGAAUUUUAUGAUCAAUUAGUGGAUAAAGAUGAACGAUAUAUCUUAUCUUCUAUUAUGUUUGACAUAUUUUUUAUUUUGAUGGAUUAUUUGAAUUUAUGAUUGUAGAAAAUAUUUUGAUGGAUUAGUUGAAUAUGAUUAUCUUUGUAGUUGAAUAUGGUUGAUGGAUUAGUUGACAUUUUGUGAAUAUACUGAUAUGAAUACCUAUGCAAUUAAAU